rnacentral:rRNA from 1 species
UAGGGAAUCUUCGGCAAUGGACGAAAGUCUGACCGAGCAACGCCGCGUGAGUGAAGAAGGUUUUCGGAUCGUAAAACUCUGUUGUUAGAGAAGAACAAGGACGUUAGUAACUGAACGUCCCCUGACGGUAUCUAACCAGAAAGCCACGGCUAACUACGUGCCAGCAGCCGCGGUAAUACGUAGGUGGCAAGCGUUGUCCGGAUUUAUUGGGCGUAAAGCGAGCGCAGGCGGUUUCUUAAGUCUGAUGUGAAAGCCCCCGGCUCAACCGGGGAGGGUCAUUGGAAACUGGGAGACUUGAGUGCAGAAGAGGAGGGUGGAAUUCCAUGUGUAGCGGUGAAAUGCAUAGAUAUAUGGAGGAACACCAGUGGCGAAGGCGGCUCUCUGGUCUAUAACUGACACUGAGGAUCGAAAGCGUAGGGAGCAAACAGG